AAGCGUGUAAUAAAAUAGUAUUAAGUUUACUUUGUUCUUUUGCAAGAAAUAAAAAGGCUUUUUUAUUUUUAUUUUAUUUAUACUCGUGACGAUGAUUUUCAUACUCAUAUUUUCAUUUCCGUGGGAAACUCGGUCAACUCGCGAACCUCAUAUGUUACUCUUUCAACUCGCUCUCUCCGCUGCGCUCGUCUCCGCUUGGGUGGAAGCACAUGUAUGAGAAUCAUCGUUACGAGUAUAGCGGAGUCCGUAAUGGGUCCGUUCCGCUCGCAGUGGAAGGCGGGCAUUAAGCUGGAAUUACAUUAUGAAAUUAGUGGCAUGCAUGGGAAAUCAGUUUCACGAAAGUAGCAUCGAUAUAUGCGAAACUAAUUUUGUAAUAUAGGUGCGGCCAAUUCAGGUUAGAGCGGGACAAAACGCAUACUGUGUCACACAUCGGUCUGGCAUGAUCGGUGACGUAGCGCAAGUGCGUUUGAGUGGGACAGAACGCAUACUGCGUAUUCACACCUCUGACGAGAUCGGUGACGUAGCUUAAUAUCAAAGAUAGAAAAUACAGCAUAUAUAAAAAAGAAAUUAUAAUUGCAUAAGUUGAUAAUAAAUGCUAUGCAAUAGCUUUACCGCGACAGUCCCCGAGUGCCACACGUUUUUUUUUAUAUAUUCAAUGUCGCCAAAGAGAUGCUUCUUUAUAAACGUAAAAUGCUGCGUUUUUUAGCAACUGGAAAUAAAUAAGUCUUUAUCAUAAGAAUUCAGGGUGGCAUCAUGUAUUAGCAUCAAAAUACACACGUCCGCACAGCACAGGCACUUUCGCGACAUUAGUUACACGUAAGUUGCAUGGAACUAAUUUCAACAAAAAAUCGCGCAGGGCACGAAACACAUUUGCAUUCAUCAAAUUGAUGCAUUACGAAAAUAUCGAAUUACACGUGAAACUGUUGGUAAAAAUAAUGUCACGAAAUUAAUUUCAUGUCACUAAUUUCGUAAUGUAAUUCUUUAAGGCUUUAUGUUCGUCAGAAAGUGGAAGUCUAGAGGGAAAUCUGCUCGGAAUCGAAUCUGGCGCUAUCGAAGGGAAAAUUAUGUAAUUAAAAAUACAGAUGAAGCUGUAACACGUUACUGUUACUUUAAAAUAAUCUACAAUAAAUAAAUUUAUUUGUUGAAAAU